rnacentral:rRNA from 1 species
GUAGGUGGCAAGCGUUGUCCGGAAUUAUUGGGCGUAAAGCGCGCGCAGGCGGGUUCUUUAAGUCUGAUGUGAAAGCCCACGGGCUCAACCGUGGAGGGUCAUUGGAAACUGGAGAACUUGAGUACAGAAGGGGAAAGCGGAAUUCCACGUGUAGCGGUGAAAUGCGUAGAGAUGUGGAGGAACACCAGUGGCGAAGGCGGCUUUCUGGUCUGUAACUGACGCUGAGGCGCGAAAGCGUGGGGAGCAAACAGGAUUAGAUACCCUGGUAGUCCACGCCGUAAACGAUGAGUGCUAAGUGUUAGGGGGUUUCCGCCCCUUAGUGCUGCAGCUAACGCAUUAAGCACUCCGCCUGGGGAGUACGGCCGCAAGGCUG